UAGGAUGAAUUUUGUGAUGGUUGAUUUUUGGCUGGAAUUUAAUCUAACCUUUGUUCUAAUCCUGCCUCUGACGCUAACUCGCUUCGUGGCCUUGAGGAAAUCACUCCGGGCCCAAUCCCUUUGACUUCACAACUUUCCCAAUUUCCUCCCUCUGUUAAAAGGGGUUAAUAAUACCCAACAGCCAGGGGGUUGCGAGAGUUAGUUAUGUGUACAGCACCUGGAAGAUCGAAAGCGCUAAGUAAUGUAAUUUCCUUGUACAUGUAUAAGGAUUGUUUUUUCAUUGCCUUAGCCAAGGUAGAAGACCAUUAUAAAUACAAUUGCUAUUUAGCUCUUCUGGAUUUGUAAAUAAUUGUUUCAUUUGGUUCGGAAAUGGGACAUUCUAGGUUUCCUUGUCAUUUGCAGCCACAACCCUUCCAUUUUCUAGUGCAGAUUAGCAAAGAAACACAAUCUCUCUCCUCCCCAACCUGCGGACAUUUUUUUCCCUUCCUUCUUCCGCACUGAGAAUUCCAAACAGCUCGUCUGACAAUUGCAGCCAGUCAAAAAGAGAAAGGGAUGUUGUUCUGUUCAUUUGUCAUUUGCACAUGAAGUCAUCAUUCAACCCAGAAGUAGUCCAAAUAUAUAGAGAGAGCUGUGUGUGUGAUUGUGCAGAGUAAACAAAGUGGAAGCUGUUCUCUCAAACUCUUGCUUUUGGGUCACCAUUCCCACAGUGCUGCUGCUGAGUUAUGUAGGUUACUAAGGGAGGGAUGGAGGAAGCUGAGCUCUAGCCUCUGACGUCCGCAUUUUGUUUCAGGGCUGCAGCUGCGCCCUUUGCGCAGACUCGGUGAGGGACGUGACUCUAUGCAAUUGGCACUUGAAACCUUAUUAAACGAAACGCACAUUCCAGGGACAGACUCAGAGAGAGAAUCUACAGCCAGCACCGCCGAUGCCCCGUCACAGCACUAAGUACCGCCUCCCUUGCUGCUAUUUCUGGGCUCUAAAAGCUCCCUCCCACUGCCAGGCUUAACUUUUACUUAACGUAGCAAGAAGAGCAGCAUGUACAGUACACAGGAAUGGGUGUAUGAGCCGCAUUCUAUACUGUAGUACUCUCUCCCUUUGCACUGACAACCAGCUGAGGCUUUUGUUACUCGGGCGUACCGCUGGUCAGUAACUGAGACAGGCUGGCAUGAGGCUGAUUUCCCACUGCAGACUAUGUUGCUGUUGGGAGAUUUGUUACUGCAGAACCGACUGGCGGAGGGCAUGGGGUUGACUUGUAAUUACAGACCCAGCUGGGCUUUUUGAUGUUUUGUCCUUUGCAGCCCACAUACACGAUACGUAGCGUGGACACAAGAUAUUUCCAUGGAGCUAAUUAGUGCGAUGUCAUCAAAGCGAACAAGUAAAUAGAUAUCAUGUCCUUGCCCUAUUUGCAAGCGAAUGCUUUAAUCCAACUGCAGAGUUAAGCUUGGGAAAUGACUCCCACCCCCGCCCCAUCGUCAAGCUCAGCUUAUCUGUCAAGUUUUCGAGCUCCACUUUCUUUCUUUUCUUUUUCGAGAAUCAAACGCCGUAGGCCGCUGUCUCUCAACACACCCCACCCCCAACCUUUCUUCUUUGGACUGGAAUGAGCUGGCUCUGUUGGACGAGGCGAGUGUAAAUUAUAUGAUCUCCCCUACUGGCUUGGCCAGGGGGGGUGGAAUCUUGCUAAGGUUUCUACCGUGCUGCUGUUGAAAAUGCCAGGUGCCUUGAAAGGUUUUUUUUUAAAAGCGCGCGGGGAGGGGGGGGAAAUAAACCACCCUCGGAGAAACAAUUGUGUUGAUCUUAUGUCACAUGAAAAACCCUGUUCUGAAAUUACACAGAGGAUAUUUAAUCCCAAAACUGAAGCGUUUUUUCAUGCAAACGCCGCAUGAUUCUGCUCUGGGGGAUUUCCAGAAACGGUGCAGCUCGCUAAUGCGUCUUCCGACAGUGUCAUUCCCCCCUACAGCGCGCGCGCGCCGUGCAACCGGUGUUGAUGCAAAACCCGCUUCCCCCCACCCACAUCAGUGCAAGUGCAACGAGGAUUUUGAUACAACGCCGCUCAUCCCCGAACACACCGUGGAACUAGGGGUAAUACUUCCCGAACCAGUUGCAGCCGGUGAUAACGCAGAUCCUCACACACGCCACUUGCCCCCGAGGUAAUGCAAUCUGUCCCUUCAAGGGUUAAGCCGUUCCCCGCCCGUAAAUCCUUCCCGAGUGAAGCAAGAGUAAUGUAAACACCGCCUUGCACAUUCACUCGAACCAAACCUUGCCCUUUUGGGGCUGCCCCGUCAGCUAUAAACGAAAUUCAAAAACAUGGUCUAGUUGUAGGAUCUCUCUCUCCCUCUCUCUCCCACACAUAAAAGGAGAGAGUUUCUUUUAGUUUCCCAUUAAUCAUCUGUUAAUAUUUUCAACUUCAUGGGUAUAGGAGCCCAGCCCUAGUGACUUUCCUGAGGUUAGCUUGUCAAUGAAAUGGCUAAUUUUUGGACUACACUCCCGUCCUGAUUUUUCCCCCCGGGGCUAAAAGGGUUAACACGUCUUGUUUUCUGCUUCACAACAGCUCCCCGUUCAUACUGUGUCAAAUUCUUUUAAAGGUACUUUUUUUUUCCUUCUAAAGAAGCUUUAUCAAUGUAUACUAAGUAAACAGAUCCUUGUUUUUGCCUUCCACCCACUGCCCUUUCUCUCCAGACUGAAAUUGGAUUCCUGCCAACCCGGCUGCAGAAAUUGCUGCCGACACACUCGCAGAGGAGCGCAGGGUUUCUAGGGUUUUACCUUACUGGCUUUUGUCGAUACCUAUGCUGACAAGUUCAAUCAGAAGACCCAUCUGAAAAAGAACUGAUAGUGUCUCUCAGCAUAGCACUGGUUAGCCCACAUCUGGAAUUCUGCCUUCUAUAAAAGACAGAUUGAGAGAAUAGCAACAAAAAUGAUGAAAGGACCAGAAGAUGAAGAUUAACCUAUGAAGAAAGGUUACAAGAGCUAAAUCUGUGUAGUUUAGCUAAAGGAUGAUGGCCAAAGGACAUACAAGUCUACAAGCAACGGAUGUGUGUAAUGAGCAAGCAGAGAGAGGAAUUGCUGAAGCUGAUGAUAAAAAGGAAGUAAACAUCACAUCAUCAGAUAUGUGCCAAGUGAAACAAACAUGGAAUGGCAAAACAGCACAUUUGAAGAAGAGGGAUACAAUCCUUAUAUUCAAGAUAUUGGAUCCAAACAUAUAUAGGUCAUUAUCCAGUUGUUUUGCUGUGGGAGGAGAUGCAGAACUCCAGUGGUUUAUUGAUAUCAUUCCUUGAAGGUGAAGGAGCCAUAAAGUGAUCUCAAUACUGAGGCGUGAAGCAGCAUCAUGUAAUAUAGUUAAACAAUAAUGCAAACCAUAGAAGAAUCGAUGGAAGAGGAGGGAAAUGAAUUCACCUAAAAAAGACUGAAUAUUUAAGUCCAACACAGAAAGAUGUUUGGAGUUUGUGGGGGAAGGUGGAGAAUCCCCUGGUUUCCUCUGCACUGAUCUCCCAUGCCCUGCAGUGUAUAAAAGCCUCCUAAAUAAAACGACUCUAUUAACAGACUACUGUAGGACUAGAGUAAAGAUGCACUCCAAGCUCUGGAUCCAAACCUCAGUUGAGAUAUUCAGAUCUGCUGUUCCAGUUCAGAUCCAUCUUUAGAUUCUGAAAUAUGGCAUUGACUCCUAAAUACCAUAAUACAAGAAAGGGAAUCAGCCAGGCAGGAUUGUUUAAACUGUCAGACAACUCAUAAUUUGACAGUGAUCCCUUUUUAAAGUGGGGGAAAGUGCAGGCUUUGAGUGAUUCAGGUUGAUCACCUUUUAAUCUGCAUUUUUGGUUUGAGUUUUCAUUAUUACGGAAGUAAUUCCAAGAAAAAAAAAACUAUCUUAUUUACAUAUAAAACAAUUAAGUCCUGUCUGACUUUUCUGCACUCAGGAGCCAGCCACAUGUUCGGCUGCAGGGUAUUGUAAGGGACAGGAAAAUCUGGGAAAAUGCUUGCACCAAAUUGUUUUGGCUUUCCUAUGUAUUUGCGGUGUAUUUAAGCUGCAUAUAAAAUCAAACGAAGAUUGAGUAAGCCGGGAGGCUAUAUAGUGCAUAGAAGUGUGGGCCUGAUUCACAGCCCACUGAAGUCAAUGUGCAAUGAUUGCAAUGGACUUUGAACCAGGCCCCCUAUGCAUGGUAACCAAGAUAGAAUAAAUUGCAGCAAUGGACAUAGUGCUGUAGUUUAAAAUGAAGCUAGAGCAACAUUUUUAAGAUAGGGUUUUUUCUUGCUGCAGGCAGAUAAUGGAACUAGCCUCCAGACGUGUAAACUCUCAGCAGCCAGCAUGAUCAUCAUGAGCCAAUUUCUAUUGAAAUUAGAUCAAUACUAUUUUUUUCCCUUCCCCUCACUGGCUCCUAAGUGAUUCAUGAAUCUGAAAACUAGUUCAUGAAUCUGAGAGGAAGGGGGAGAGGAGGAGGCGGAAUAUCUGCAGUCAGCAAACCUUGACUCUGUUUCAUGAAUCCAGGGAUUAGUUACAUAAUGUUCUGCUGCCUGCUAGUUGAAACCAGUAUUUAGGUUGCCGUUUAAAACUUUUACUUAUUCAAUUCCCCCCACUCCCCCUCGAAGAACUGGGUAGAGCCACGUUCUUUUACACACACACACGGCAAAAAUCAGAGCCAUGUUAUAUAGCAACUAUUUGAGUGUAUGUGCAUGUGACACACAUCUUAGCUACACUUUGUGUGUGUGUAUAGAGAGAGACAGACAAGAAUCAGUGCUGCACCAGAUAGCGCUCCUGGGUGUGUCAGAAAUCAGAGCUACGUUAUGUAGGAAUUCUCUGAAUGUGUGUGUGCUUGUGACAAGGUGGAGAGCCACGCUGGGUAAUGUGUGUAUAUGUAAAGACAGACAAGAAUCAGCACCACAUUACCUAGCACUCAUAUGUGUACUUGUAUGUGACAAGAAUAGUUUAACCGGUUAUGGGCCCUUUAAAUCUGUACUGGAGCCAAGUCUCUCUCUCUGUGGAGUUUCAUAAGGAAGCACAUGAUGAGAGCAGUUGGAAACCACAUCUCUGUGAGUGCUGAUUACAGCCGACUGAGGAAAAUGAGAUUUUUAUCUUGCAGGAAUUCAAUUAUCAAAAAAAUAAAAUACAGCCUCUCUGCCUUUAUUCGGCUAAACUCA